ACCGAAAAGUUAAUAGCUCACUAAACAUCUCAUUUGAACUUUCGACGAGCGGACGUGCUUUACAAACACAAUGAAGGGUGCAGUUAUCAUUUGUUUUUUCUUAGUGACUAUUAUUGCUACUACAUUUUGUAAUCCAGUUCCGACAGAGGAUGUUGAAUAUAGCCAACCGCAAGAAGAACAUGUGAGGGUGAAAAGAUUUACUUGUGACGUGUUGAGCGUAGAAGCUAAAGGAGUCAAACUGAAUGAUGCUGCUUGUGGGAUCCACUGUCUGUUUUUGGGGAAACGAGGGGGAUGGUGCGAUAAUCGAAGAGUUUGCAAUUGUAGAAAAUGAUUCGCCUCAGUUGUUGUUGAUAUGUUAUAAUUCAAUUGAUGAUGAUACAAAUUUUCGUUACGUAUAUCUAUGACCGAUAACUUGCUGAUUUUUUGUUUGCCAAUGGCAUUGUACGACUGUAAAUGACUGGUAAUGCAAUACCUAAGACGAAUAGUUUCAAUUGAAUAAAUUAACUUUCAAAUUGCCACCCGACUGAAAAGGAAGUCAAAUAACUAUCAUAACCAGAAAACAGGUUUGACUUUCAAAGCUAACUAUCACGGUUAUCAGAUAUAGUUUAUCAAUAAAAUGUUCCUAGAUUUUCAA